GAUGAACGCUGGCGGCGUGCCUAAUACAUGCAAGUCGAGCGAACAGACGAGGAGCUUGCUCCUCUGACGUUAGCGGCGGACGGGUGAGUAACACGUGGAUAACCUACCUAUAAGACUGGGAUAACUUAGGGAAACCGGAGCUAAUACCGGAUAAUAUAUUGAACCGCAUGGUUCAAUAGUGAAAGACGGCUUUGCUGUCACUUAUAGAUGGAUCCGCGCCGCAUUAGCUAGUUGGUAAGGUAACGGCUUACCAAGGCAACGAUGCGUAGCCGACCUGAGAGGGUGAUCGGCCACACUGGAACUGAGACACGGUCCAGACUCCUACGGGAGGCAGCAGUAGGGAAUCUUCCGCAAUGGGCGAAAGCCUGACGGAGCAACGUCGCGUGAGUGAUGAAGGUCUUCGGAUCGUAAAACUCUGUUAUUAGGGAAGAACAAAUGUGUAAGUAACUAUGCACGUCUUGACGGUACCUAAUCAGAAAGCCACGGCUAACUACGUG
rnacentral:rRNA from 1 species